GGCGGACGGGUGAGUAACACGUGAGCAACCUGCCUUUCAGAGGGGGAUAACGGCUGGAAACGGUCGCUAAUACCGCAUGAUGUGUUCGGAUGGCAUCAUCUGAACAUCAAAGAUUUAUCGCUGAAAGAUGGGCUCGCGUCUGAUUAGAUGGUUGGUGGGGUAACGGCCUACCAAGUCUACGAUCAGUAGCCGGACUGAGAGGUUGAACGGCCACAUUGGGACUGAGAUACGGCCCAGACUCCUACGGGAGGCAGCAGUGGGGAAUAUUGCACAAUGGGGGAAACCCUGAUGCAGCAACGCCGCGUGAAGGAUGACGGUUUUCGGAUUGUAAACUUCUUUUCUUAGUGACGAAGACAGUGACGGUAGCUAAGGAAUAAGCAUCGGCUAACUACGUGCCAGCAGCCGCGGUAAUACGUAGGAUGCAAGCGUUAUCCGGAUUUACUGGGUGUAAAGGGAGCGCA
rnacentral:rRNA from 1 species